CAGAGUUGAAAGACUCCAAACCAUCGCGAACCUACCACUACGUUGCCUCGGCGGGCAGCUCCAGGGCGGAGCCGCCAGCCCCCCUCGGGGGGUGCCCGCCGAAAGGCCCCAAACCAUGUCGUAUCUAGGCUACUCUGAGUACCUGCGAAUGCAGUCA
rnacentral:misc_RNA from 1 species